GAGGCGGGUAGCCCGGUGGUUAGAGGAGGAGGCAGGUAGCCUAGUGGUUAGAGGAGGAGGCAGGUAGCCUAGUGGUUAGAGGAGGAGGCAGGUAGCCUAGUGGGUAGAGGAGGCAGGUAGCCUAGUGGUUAGAGGAGGCAGGUAGCCUAGUGGUUAGAGGAGGCAGGUAGCCUGGUGGUUAGAGGAGGCAGGUAGCCUAGUGGUUAGAGGAGGCAGGUAGCCUAGUGGUUAGAGGAGGCAGGUAGCCUAGUGGUUAGAGUGUUGGCCUAGUAACUGAAAGGUUGCUAGAUUGAAUCCCCGAGCUGACAAGGUAAAAAUCUGUCGUUCUGCCCCUGAACAAGGUAGGCCGUCAUUAUAAAUAAUAAUUAGUUCUUAACUGACUUGCCUGGUUAACUAAAAAAAAAUAGCUCUGGUUAAAAUGGGAUGCCUGCUAUUUGCACUGCAUUUCUCUGGUCAAAAGAAGGGCACUAUGGGGUGCCUGGCAAAUUCAUCAACACAACAACAACGGAUAAGAUCUUCUGGUUGCAUAUCACCCAGCUAGAGUUCUCCUGGCUAACGAGACUCCACAUGCAGAAAUAUCAGUGGAAUUUAUCGAACUUGAACGAACAUAUUCUCUCGUCAGGUAAAUAUGUUUCCUAGGCCUUUACGUUUGGUUGGAAUGGGUUUUUUAAAUGCCCAAGCCGGUUCACUUUCCUGUUAGUGACAUAUAGGCUAUACUGUAUUUAUUAGUUAUGCCUUUAUUUAUUUAUUUAUUAUUAUAUAUAUAUUUAUUUUAAAUAAACGAAGUCAUACUUAAAAGGGAGAGAUAUCGUGCGCUUUUUUUCUCAUUAUGUUGACAGUCACGCGGGCGUGUAAUAAAGGAACGCGGAGUUAACAUGCGCUGUUAAUUUUUCAUUGCUUUUUUUUUCGUUUAGGGGGCUCACCCACCCAAAAAACCGAGAGAGAGAGACGAGAGGGGUAGAGAGAGAGAGAGAGAGAGAGAACUUGUCAUAAGUACAAAAUAAAGGAAAUGGGAAAAAGGAAUGAAUGGAACUAAAACCAAAACAACAAUUCUGCCUUCGAUGAUGUUCACGUCAUAAACACAUUUUAAAGAAGCACCUCUCCUCUCCUCUCCUCCCCUCUCCUCUACUCUCCUUCUCCCUCCCUCUCUCCCCCUCUCCUCUCCUCUCCUCCCCUCUCCUCUCC
rnacentral:lncRNA from 1 species